UGGCCAGGAAAGGUGUAGCCUGCAGGGGGCGGAGCCUCGAACAAAACAAGUUUCGCUGAAACUUAAUUUUUUACAUUUUUUUCAUUAAAUAAAGGAAGGGCAUCGGUCUUCUUCGGAGCACACACCCGCACGUUACCUUUCACUUUUUAAGAAUCACAGUUUUGUCAGAAGGGAGAAUGGCAGACAGGAGUAGACACCCGGAGGAUGAUGGUUAUACCGACCGUAGGACACACGAAACACCGAAAUCUGAGUUCGACAGAGACCGAACCAGGAGAGAGUUCCACGGGUCCGACGUGCCCCAUGCUGACAGACACGGCCGAGACGAAGCACCCUCGAGAGGGUCUCAGGAGACUCCAGUCUUUCCUUUUAAAGAAGAGUAUGACGACCACAGACAGGCGCUCUACAACCUCAGAUUCAUCUUAUCCAGCAGAGGCGAGUGGACCUUCCGUGAAUGAUGCUGGCAGAAUUGUAUCAUAAAGUUAGGCCAUAGGACAUUUCAACUUUAAAAUAGACGUGUUUAACUAUUUAAUACGAUAAUACGUCCAACAACAUUCUUGAUAAAUCAAAACUAGGUAAAUUGGUCUUCUUGGUAUGAACAAUAUAAAUCAAGAUACUUGUAUUGAGCAGGAGUUUAAAUAUAUAUUCCCUUUCAGAAAGACAUCAAACCUGGUUCCAUUCCUUGUCUGUAAAAU